rnacentral:rRNA from 1 species
AGUCAACGCUGGCGGUAGGCCUAACACAUGCAAGUCGAACGGCAGCACAGUAAGAGCUUGCUCUUACGGGUGGCGAGUGGCGGACGGGUGAGGAAUACAUCGGAAUCUACUUUUUCGUGGGGGAUAACGUAGGGAAACUUACGCUAAUACCGCAUACGACCUACGGGUGAAAGCAGGGGAUCUUCGGACCUUGCGCGAUUGAAUGAGCCGAUGUCGGAUUAGCUAGUUGGCGGGGUAAAGGCCCACCAAGGCGACGAUCCGUAGCUGGUCUGAGAGGAUGAUCAGCCACACUGGAACUGAGACACGGUCCAGACUCCUACGGGAGGCAGCAGUGGGGAAUAUUGGGCAAUGGGCGCAAGCCUGAUCCAGCCAUACCGCGUGGGUGAAGAAGGCCUUCGGGUUGUAAAGCCCUUUUGUUGGGAAAGAAAAGCAGCAGGUUAAUACCCCGCUGUUCUGACGGUACCCAAAGAAUAAGCACCGGCUAACUUCGUG